GUAGCUUAAUGACAGAGAGCUUCUACAUUUCAGUGACCAUUAACUACAGUCAUAUUUUAAAAUUUUAUUCCAAAAUUGUUCUGAAUUCUGAAUUCUGAAUUACUGAUAGGUUAUAUAUACUUUUUUUCUAAUUCUUUGUAUUUCAUUUUCAGCAAGAAAAUUGUGUCAAGAAAGGAAAUGGACCUCUAUUCUGAAAGUUUUAAUGCUUGAAGCAAUGAGCAAUUUUGAAUGUGGUUGACUGGUGCUGAUUUUUAAGAUACGAUCGAAAUGGAGGCAUUUGGACAUACAUACACAUGAACAAGCAUUGAACAGAGGGAUUCUGACCAUGCAGGCAAAUGGGAUGAGGUGGUCUAAAGCCGUGUGGAGAGCCAUUGAAACAACAUACAUCAAAGUUGCUGGUGAACGCAGCAGGCCAGGCAGCAUCUAUAGGAAGAGGCGCAGUCGACGUUUCAGGCCGAGACCCUUCGUCAGGACUAACUGAAGGAAGAAUUCCAGGUAUUUCCCUGAACUAUUUUGAAAUAUGAUGAUUUGCAUAUCUAAGAAGCAAAUGUAUUCAGGAAACCCUGUAUCCUUUCUAAGAAUGUUAUUUAUUUCUCGGACUUAAACAAAAUUAUAUGGGAGCAUCUUACAUGAUCGAAUAGCCCUCACUGAGUAUUAAUCAUGUCCAAAACUCUGAAAGCAAGCUGAAGCUGAUGAGAAGACAUCAUCAAAGAAAAACACGACUAACUUUGAUUUAAUGAGUCCUCUUACCUCUAACAUGUCAUGAAUUCAAAUUGAUUAGAAUUUGUUCUCUGUGUUAUGUAAGCUCUUGAGAUUUUCUUGGUAGGCACUUUUUUGUUGACAGCAGUUAAGUCAGGGUUAUGUAUAAUCAGAUAAUUGCAGAAUGAUACAGCGCAGAAAUGUGAGAAGGUUUGAAGGUAUUCAAGGCAGAAUUAAAAACAGCUUUCUAAGCACAACAGCUUCAUACAGCAACUGCCUUGUGGCAGGACCUGUGUCUGAGAGCGAGGAACAAACCGAAGUUUGGCUGAUUUAAGCACGGCCAGGUUGAAAAGGUCAGGGUGUCGGGGCUGGAGGCGAGGGACAGCUUGCUACUCCACGAGUCUUAUUCGCCUCUACGCUGAACGGAGACAUCGGCAACGAAUGGGCUCCUGGACUGGCUGCGCUGAUGGACAGGCUUUAUGGCUGUGGACUCACUUUGGUGAACUUUAGUUCUGAGUGUUAUUUGUUUGCUUUCCAUUGCUUGCACAAUUCAUUCUUUUCCCCACACAUUAUGGGUUUUAUCAGUCUUUUUUAAUGGGUUUCUUUGUUUUUGUGGCUGCUAUAAGAAGAUGAAUUUCAAGGUUGUAUGUAGCAUACAUAAUUUGAGAGCAAAUGCAUUUGAACCGUGACUGCAAGAAACUGCAGGGACUUGUGAAGCAAGCUUGGCACAUCUCGAAAACCAAUCUCCUUGCUUGGACUCUGUCUGUAAUUCUUGCUACCUCAGUAAAGCAGCCAGUAUAAUCAAAGACCCCAGACACCCUGAACGUUCUUCUCUCCUCUCCCAUCAGGUAGAAGAUACAGAAGCCUGACAGCACAUACCAUCAGGCUCAAGGACAGCUUCUAUACCACUGUUGUUAGACUCUUCGAAUGGACUUCAUGUAUAAGAUGGACUCGACCUCACAAUCAACUUUGUUAUGAUCUUGCACUUUAUCAUUUACCUGCACUGCACUAUUUAAGUAGCUUUUAAACUUUAUUCUGUGUUGUUACUGUUUUAACAGAUUCAUUUUAAAGUUGAAAUCAUUUUAAUACAGCUGUUAUAGUCUUGAUGAUUUCUUAUUAUUUGUUGAUUUCUAUUGUGCUAAAGAUGUCAACACUGGUGGGUGUGGGUAUUAAUUUCCUGUACCACACACUAAUUUGCAUAUCAAUUUGAUUCUUAUAACUGCUUGCUGUUUCUGUAAGAAUAACCACAUCAGCAUGAAUGCCUUUUACUGCAAAGGAUGCUGGGAAAGGUGCAGCGUAAUACUUGCAAUUGAGGAAGUGCCCUGUCUGUAGGAUUCUGCUUUACUUUCACUGACUAGACUUGGCUUGUGUCACUGAAAAUUGGACAACUUACUGUAUAUCUCCAAGUUACCGGUCCAUUAUCAGCCAAGUCAUUCUUGAAUGUUGACUACAUCUUAGUUUUAGGGGGUAUUUUUCCGAAGAUGUUUCACAACUCAAUUUUCAGGUCUAUUGGAUUUUUAGUUGAAAGUCAAUGAAAAUGAAAAGCUUACAAAGUAUAGCUUAGCUUUUGCAUUGUGAUAUAUGUGUAUGCAAAUUAUGUCAUUGUACAUGGGAUUUAAACACAUGAUUUACUAAACAUGACAGAUUCUGCAGAUGCUGGAAAUCCAGAGCAACACACACAAAAUGCUGGAUGAACUCAGCAGGCCAGGCAGCAUCUAUAAACGUGACAUUUCGGGCCAAGACACCUCUUCAAGAUUGGAACUGAAGAUGACAGAGUAAAAAGGUGAGGGGAGGGAAAGGAGGACAGUUAGAAGGUGAUAGGUGAAGCCAGGUGGGUAGGAAAGGUAAAGGGCUGGACAGGAAGUAAUGUGUUAGGACAGAAAAGUGGAUGAUAGGAGAAAGGGAAGGAGGAGGGGACCCAGAUGGAGGUGAAAGGCAGGUGAGAAGAGGUAAGGGGUCAGAAUGGGGAAUAGAAAAAGAGAGGAGGUGCAGAGAAACAUUUUUUUUUACCAGAAGGAGAAAUUGAUGUUCAUGCCAUCAAGUUAGAGGCUACCCUGGCAGAAUAUACGCUGUUGCUCCUCCACCCUUUGGGUGGCCUCAUCAUAGCAUAAAAGGAGGCCACGGACCAACAUGUUGGAACAGGAUUGGGAAUCGGAAUUAAAAUAUUUGGCCACCAGGAAGUUCCGCCUUUGCUGGAUGGAGAGGUGGGGUUUGACAAAGUGGAUCCCCCAUUUACAACGGGUGUCACCGAUGUAGAGGGGGCUGCACCAAAAGUACUGGACACAAUAGAUGACCCCAGAAGAUUCGCAGGCAAAGUGUUGUCUCACCUGGAAAGACAGUGGAGGUGGGGCAGGAGGUGAAUGGGCAGGUAUAGAUCUUUGGCCACUUGCAGUGAUAAAUGCCGGAAGGGAGAUAGUGGGGAGGGACGAUGGACAAGGGAGUCACAGAGGGAGCAUAGUAAUACAUGUUUUAGUAGUUGUUAAUCUGCAGAUCAUUGUACAGGCAUGUUUUGAAGAUCCUGGUGUCCUCUGGGGACGAUUAUCUGCUUAUACUAAAGGUCCAUCUUAAAAUACACUUCUGUUGCUAUCAGUUACAACAAUAGCUGUUAUCCCGCUCUAGAAAGUCAAGUGCACUGCUUUGAAGAAACUCUCCAAAGCACCCAGUGAGCACUGCUGAAGGGCAGCACUUACCACAGUGUUGCAUGUUUAAUAUUUCAGUAAUAUUGUAAGUAUAUUGUUUGGGGCCUGCUGGUGGUGCAAUGAUAUCAGUGCCGGACUCUGGAAAGGAGGUUCCCGGGUUCGAACACAGUCGGGUCCGCUCCCAUGUAUGCUUUCCAUCUGGGCCGGGUUGAGUGUUGAGAUCGCAACUCGACCUCGUAAAAUAAAGGGAAGAAUACUGUGAAAGUGUCUGUGUGAGGAGUGACGUGACACACGGUCUCUCUCUGGCUCCGCGCCUUGUAAAGGCAUGGAAAAGACAUCGUCCCGCCAACAUCGCACACGCACGCAUUCACAUAUGCACACGGAGAAAAAAAAAGUAAAUAUAUUGUUUGAUUAAGCAUUCUUCGUUGUUACAUAAUCACUCUGGGUUUAAAUGUGAACGGCUGUAAUGAUAUCACCAUAUUAUAAGUGCAUGCGCCUCAUGAGAAGUAAAGA